rnacentral:rRNA from 1 species
AGAGCGAACGCUGGCGGCAGGCCUAACACAUGCAAGUCGAGCGCCCCGCAAGGGGAGCGGCAGACGGGAGAGUAACACGUGGGAACGUACCCUUCAGUUCGGAACAACCCAGGGAAACUUGGGCUAAUACCGAAUACGUCCGUAAGGAGAAAGAUUUAUCGCUGAAGGAUCGGCCCGCGUCUGAUUAGCUUGUUGGUGAGGUAAUGGCUCACCAAGGCUACGAUCAGUAGCUGGUCUGAGAGGAUGAUCAGCCUCACUGGGACUGAGACACGGCCCAAACUCCUACGGGAGGCAGCAGUGGGGAAUAUUGGACAAUGGGUGCAAGCCUGAUCCAGCCAUGCCGCGUGAGUGAUGAAGGCCCUAGGGUUGUAAAGCUCUUUCGCCCGCGACGAUGAUGACGGUAGCGGGAGAAGAAGCCCGGCUAACUUCGUGCCAGCAGCCGC